rnacentral:lncRNA from 1 species
GGGUCCUAACGGAACUAAAGACACCACAAAUGUUAGCUGCACAGACAGAAAGGUCAGGAUUGGCCAAUCGAGAUGAUCAGUUAACAACUUUAUUCUUUAUCGUCUACAAAAGGGCUGGUGUUUUGUUCCAAAGUGACUGUUGGUAGGGCUGAGACCCGUAGGGGACCUUUGGAAUCCCUGUUAAUGACAGUAAAACACUGGCUUCAGUGAGCCCCUGCUAGCAGGUGCGGGCCUGGCGACCACCGAUCCAGACCAACCUCCUGAGUGUCUGACGGCAGAGGCCAGGGCCGGAGGCCACAGCUUCCGGAAGCAAAGUGGUCAUGCUCUUAGGGGCGAAAGAGUUCAGGCAAAACAAGGCGCCGCCCUAGAGAAGUCCUGUGGAAUCGGCCUCCACAGCACCUGCCAUGGGGACGGGAGCAGAACCAGAGUCAAAAAAGCAAGAGGGAAACAGCCCACAGAGGAACAGGCAGGGGCCGAAGGGCACAGAGCAGAGCAGCCGCCUGCAAAGGGCCGUGGCGUGGGCCGCUGCGGGGAUGAGCCUGCCUGCUGGCAGCUCAGCUCUCUGCGCUUGUUUCCCAACCGGAAAAAUGGAACACCGCCUCCUUCCUAUGGAGUAGCUUCGAAACCCAACGGGUGAGGGAGACAUCCGGCCCAGCACAGCCACAUCACAGAGACACGUCAACACACUUCACCUUCAGAGCCUGCCCCUCGCCCCAUGGACGCGGGAGCUGGCUCAGCGGUAAGCGGUGCGAGGACCGUUCACUGGGCACCCCCCCUGUGCCGGGCACGUCAGAGCUUCACCAUCCAUUCUCUCACCAAAUCCUUACACCCACCGCGACCCGGGUGUUCGCUGACCUCCUGCUCUAGAUGAGGAAACUGAGGUUCAGAGAAGACUGGCAACUUGUCCCAUGUCAUAGCCGGCAGAGGAGCCUGGGUUUUGAAGCUACGCAUCCCGAGAGGAGAAGCUGGGCUCCUCCCACCCCGCCCUGCUCCACGGCUGGGGGCUCUAGGGAGGCACGGCCAGCAUUCCCCACGGGAGCACCUCCACCU